ensembl:lncRNA
UGAUGAUGAUGACAAUGACGAUGGAGACCAGGAUGACACCAAUGAUGACGAUGAUGAUGACAAUGACAAUGAAGACAACGAUGACACUGAUGAUAUGAUGAUGAUGAUGAUGAAGAUGACACCAAUGGCGAUGAUGACAAUGCCAGUGAAGACAAUGAUGAUGAUGAUGAAGAUGACACCGAUGAUGAUGAAAAUGACACCAAUGAUGGUGACGAUGAAGACGAUGGUGAUGACACCAAUGACGACGAUGAUGACAAUGAUGGUGAAGACACGAUGACACCGAUGAUGAUGAUGACAAUGAAGAUGACACCAAUGAUGAUGACGAUGAUGAAGAUGACACCGAUGACGAUGAAGAUGACACCAAUGACGAUGAUGAAGAUGACACCGAUGAUGAAGAUGACACCAAUGACGAUGAUGAAGAUGACACCGAUGACGAUGAUGAAGAUGACACCGAUGAUGAUGAUGAAGAUGACACCAAUGACGAUGAAGAUGACACCAAUGACGAUGAUGAAGAUGACACCAAUGAUGAUGAAGAUGACACCAAUGAUGAUGAAGAUGACACCAAUGAUGAUGAUGAAGAUGACACCAAUGACGAUGAUGAAGAUGACGACGAUGAUGAUGAAGAUGACACCGAUGACGAUGAUGAAGAUGACACCGAUGACGAUGAUGAAGAUGACACCAAUGAUGAUGAAGAUGACACCAAUGACGAUGAUGAAGAUGACACCAAUGAUGAUGAAGAUGACACCAAUGACGAUGAUGA